rnacentral:lncRNA from 1 species
CUUUUCAUGGCCUGGUCAGAGAGAGUGCUCACCCAACCGAGAAGGCCCUGGCGGGGUCACACUGGCUAAAUAAAAAGCGCCUUCUUCUGCUUUUUUCGGAGCUCCAGGUGACGGCUCCUCCUUCACUCCAGGGCGGAGCUCUGCAGAAAAGGCGGGGAGGCACGGAGGGAGGUGUACUGGGGCUGCGGGAUUCGCGGCUACAUGGGCUUCUAGGCUCUCUCGCGCCCACCCUGCCCCGAGCUACGGAGCCCCUUCCGGUCCCGCGGACUCCAAGCCUCAAGUUUCCGCCACACCCUCCAGAGAAGCGUCCCCGCCGCAGCCCCGGGGGGCGGGAGGCGCGAGGCGCGGCUGCGCCCAGCACUGGCCCCACCUCCCACGCGCCCGCGGGAGAUUUGCUUGGGGCUGGAUCCCCCGCCUACCGUUUCCCCGCAGCCGCCGGCGCUUCUGGCGCUUGUGACCCGAGCAGGAAGCCCAGAGAGAAACCAGAAAGACAGGAAGGGGAUUCCUGGACUUCCUUUCCACAUCCGGCAGGAACGCGACCCUCCUCCAGCUAGGAGCGCUUGUCCGGGCGCACCAAGAUGCCUGCAGCUUCAAGAAGAUGUAUGGGAACAGACACAGAAACUUUCCCUACCAGAUAAGCAGGACAAAGAAACACAGACUAAGAGUUGGCCUGUGUGGUCACGGAGUGGGUUAAGAGAUGAUAAAAAAAUCUGCUCUGUACAGAUGGCACACCUGGUCCCAACUAAACCCUGGGGCCCUAGAAAGAUAAGACAUCCCCUCCUCACAAGCCCCUCCUCAAGAGCCCCCUCCUCAAGAGCCCAUUUAUAAAAACUCUGACAUUCUUAACUACAACUUGGCAAUCUUCUCAGGAUCCCUCUCUAACAGAGACCUGUUCUUUCCUUUUGCCUAUUAAACUCCUGCUCCA